GUCUUUCAUCCAGGUUGUAAUUGCAGUGGAAGGGGAGACCAAACAUUCAAAGAUUGCUGAAGAGCCAACGAACUCUGAUUCUGUCAAGAUGAUGUCUUUGAUUUCUUUCACAAACUUCAGUGGCACAGCCUUUAGCUGGUAAAGACAAAAAGGUUUAUAUGUAAACCAAGACAAACUAAUGAAGAUGUUGAAUAAGCUUGACAAAUGCAAAUAAUGUACAAAGCAAGGAAAAUGAAAAAAAGCAUGCUACCUAGCACUCUGGAAAGUUAGGAAAAUGCAAGAAGACAUAUGUAGAUGAGACAAAGAUAGACCAUGUCUAUACAUGUAUGAAAUGGAUGGGAGACAAAGGAAGCAACACUCAUGAGCCAGGACCAUAAAAGCCACAGAAAUAUAAGAAAUGAAUGGGACUACUCUCUGAUCAUUGAAAAAGAGAGACAGAACAUUCGAUGGAGGCAGAAAGAGCAAGGAGUCAGGAGCAGGCAUGGCAUGACAAGCAACCCAGGAACCAUGGGGCAGCAGAAGAGACAGCUCUAUGCAAUCUCACAGUACAAUCAUGUCUGAAAGUACACACUUCUAAAAGUCAUACAUUUCUUGCAAGCAUCAUUUCAGAUGGCUGGAUAGAAGUUUGAAGCAGGCUAAUAAAACUUUGGAAGUGGCAUUUUUUACCUUUAACAGGGAAGAUGCUGAAUUGCACAUUGAGAAUUCUCCGAUAUUUGACCUACUAGAAAUUCAUGACUUCCCUUGGACCCUCAGCUGCUUUAAAGAUAUUAGUUUGUUUUAGACAUGUCAGAAACAAGAAAUACAGAAGAAAGACAUCAAGUGGAAUGCAAACUUGUGCUUAUAAAGCAACCAAAUGUUGUUUCUCUAAUGAAAGUAUCAUAAACUGGCAAAAGCUUUUGGCACCUCAGGAACUUGAGAGACAUUGAUUAUUUUAGACACUUAAAAUGCAAGAACCAAAGAAGAAUAAAGACCACGUUUCCAGUUUCCAACAUAAGAGAGUAAAUAUCACAAGGCACAUACACAAGAUGAAACAUUGACAUUUCACAGAAUCGGUUAAUGAGAAAAGAAUAAAAAGGAACAACAUACAUAGAGAAACGAUGUAAAGCACACCAACACCACACUUUAAAGACAUCAUUUCAUGAUAAGGAUUUAUUUUGAAGGACAAAAAAAGAGAAACCAAGAAGACCCCACACCCAGAAAGACCAAUGUGUUAACAGUCGCUCAAGACAGGUUUAGGUGGUCAAUCACAGAGGGUAAAGGAUUAUAGAUAAAACUGGAGAUGAACAAAAGGAUGGGAAAGCAGAAUUCAACACAAAAGAGGCCUUGAUGAUUCCAAGAAGAGCUGCUAUACCUGUGGUAUUGCCUCUGAAUUUGCUGAUUCAGAAGAUGUCGGACUCAUGUUAUCCUAUAGAAGAUGUAACAACCCAUAUACAUUUAUGAAAAUCAGGAACUACAUUAUUAUAAUGAUGAAGGAAAAGCCCAAGAAAUCAACCAACCUGAAACCUGCAAUGAAGCUGUGCAGCUGUCUUUGCCAACAGGGUUCUGCACCUCAAAACUGUAUACCCCACUGUCACUCGGUGCUACAUUGAUGAUCUUAAGGCCGGAUACUUUGUUGAAGAAGCUUAUUUUGUAUUUGUUGUCACUUGUUAGCUCUUUUCCAUCCUUAAACCACUUAGUACUGAGUUCAGGGGUGCCAGCUACUGUACACUCCAAGGUACAGGUGUCUCCCGUGGUAACUUUUAUGGAUUCUGGCUUUUCUACAAUUGUUGCAGGCUCUGGAAUGAAAUGUAAAAGAUAUCCAUAUUUUAAACUCAAAUUGAAAAACUAAAGAAAAUACAG
rnacentral:lncRNA from 1 species